GGGGCCCGCCCAGCGCGCGCUUAUCGCCGCUGCCCAGGCGCCGCGCCCCCCGCCCCGCCUCCCCGCGCCCCGGGGUCUCGAGUCCCCGCCGCCGCCGCGGGCUUCGGGGCGCAGGGCGGCCUGGAGGCCGAGAUAAUAAACAGCCGCCAGGACAACAGUACGUUCGCGUGCGGACGACGCGGAUCAGCCGUCCGCGGCCGCAGGGACAACGGACAGCGUGUAUACUUGGGAGUGGAGAAUUUCCGGGGCUUGCUCUCCGAGAGAUGCU
rnacentral:lncRNA from 1 species